rnacentral:misc_RNA from 1 species
GAAGGUCCCUGCACGCCAGCAGGUUCCCAUUCUUUUCACACAGUGUCCAUCUGGUGCCCGCACCGCCCCUUCUUUUUCACGGGUCAUCAAUCAUCAUCUUCUCACAAACUGAGCAGAACCGCUUGGCGUAAUGCUUAGCACGACCCGAUAUGCCCGCUGUGCCUCCGCAGCGGCCGGUAAGAAGUUCUCCUUCAGCGAAAAGAUGCAGAGGCUGCAGGCAGACCCCGAGCAUGCCCUUAGUGGUCCAGAGUACGCGUUCAUGCGAGAUCGCUUGGCGGAGUACAGAAAGCUGCAACAGACGUACGCGGUGAAGCAGACGGAGGUGGAGAGGGCCCGAAAGGCAGCGAACAUGUGUGGACUUGAGUUCACUGGCAAAGGUUCUCCUAGCAGGACACCAUCCUCGUAAAGUCUCCGCGUGGCUGCGCAGUGCGUGUGGGCAUCGCCGCCGUAUCGUGCACGGCGCUGUCAUAUCGCUCAUUGCUCAUGGACAUGAGUCUUACUCUAAGGAAAGCGAUAAAAUGAAGAACAGAACGUAUGUGGCGCCUGUGUAGAUGUGCCAUCCUCUUCACGUUGCGCCACUGUGACAUCCUGCACCCCUCCCCACACACACACACGGACAAGUGAGUGUGCUUGUAUGUACAGACGCUCUGCCUCCUUUGGUGGCUACCACUCUUGCUGUCCUUACCCUCUGCCGCGUUCACGGGCGGCAGCAAACGCGACGCCUGCGUUCCGAUGCCCUCCUGUCGACUUUGUUUCUUUUUCGCACUUCCGAUCCUCCGCGCCCAUUCGCGUUCUCGACUCGCGCGUUUUUUCCGCCCUCUUUUUAUCCCCUCUCACACACUCCCCUCCGCGCGCUUUGGUGUUGCGGGCGGGACCGGCUGCCGCUGUCAG